ACGAACGCUGGCGGCGUGCCUAAUCCAUGCAAGUCGCGCGAACGGACGAGAAGCUUGCUUCUCUGAUGUUAGCGGCGGACGGGUGAGUAACACGUGGAUAACCUACCUAUAAGACUGGGAUAACUUCGGGAAACCGGAGCUAAUACCGGAUAAUAUUUUGAACCGCAUGGUUCAAAAGUGAAAGACGGUCUUGCUGUCACUUAUAGAUGGAUCCGCGCUGCAUUAGCUAGUUGGUAAGGUAACGGCUUACCAAGGCAACGAUGCAUAGCCGACCUGAGAGGGUGAUCGGCCACACUGGAACUGAGACACGGUCCAGACUCCUACGGGAGGCAGCAGUAGGGAAUCUUCCGCAAUGGGCGAAAGCCUGACGGAGCAACGCCGCGUGAGUGAUGAAGGUCUUCGGAUCGUAAAACUCUGUUAUUAGGGAAGAACAUAUGUGUAAGUAACUGUGCACAUCUUGACGGUACCUAAUCAGAAAGCCACGGCUAACUACGUG
rnacentral:rRNA from 1 species